GGGGUGGGGCCUGCCGCCCGCAAGCACGCUCACCUCCGUUGCGCCUGCGCCGUGGCCUCCCCGGAUUCUGUUAACGGUAGUGGUGGCUUGUUGGGAUCCGCUGAGUGAUGGGAGAGUGUGCUCUUUAACUUCGGAGAGAGAUGCGCUCUCGUGUAGCCGUCAGGGCCUGCCAUAAGGUCUGCAGGUGCCUGUUGUCUGGGUUUGGGGGUCGAGUAGAUGCGGGGCCGCCGGAGCUGUUGACGGAAAGGAGUAGCCCCAAAGGAGGGCAUGUGAAGUCGCACGCGGAGCUCGAGGGGAACGGCGGGCACCCAGAAGCCCCCGGGUCUGGAGAGGGAAGCGAGGCGCUGUUAGAGAUCUGUCAGAGAAGGCAUUUCGUAAGUGGAAGCAAGCAGCAGCUUAGCCGGGAUUCUCUUCUGAGUGGGUGCCACCCCGGCUUCGGACCCUUGGGCGUAGAGUUGCGGAAGAACCUGGCCGCAGAAUGGUGGACCUCGGUGGUGGUGUUCAGGGAGCAGGUAUUCCCGGUGGACGCUCUCCACCACAAGCCAGGCCCUUUGCUACCCGGGGACAGUGCCUUCAGGUUAGUUUCUGCAGAAACUCUACGCGAAAUCUUGCAAGACAAAGAGCUGAGUAAGGAACAGCUAGUAGCAUUUCUUGAGAACGUAUUAAAAACUUCUGGGAAACUACGGGAGAACCUUCUUCACGGUGCCUUGGAACACUAUGUUAAUUGCCUCGAUCUGGUAAACAAGAGGCUACCUUAUGGCCUUGCUCAGAUUGGAGUGUGUUUUCAUCCUGUUUUUGACACUAAGCAGAUACCAAAUGGUGUUAAAAGUAUUGGUGAGAAGACUGAAGCUUCGUUAGUAUGGUUUACUCCUCCGAGAACUUCAAACCAGUGGCUUGAUUUCUGGUUACGUCAUCGACUCCAGUGGUGGAGAAAGUUUGCCAUGAGUCCAUCUAACUUCAGCAGCAGUGACUGUCAGGAUGAAGAAGGCCGGAAAGGAAACAAACUUUACUACAAUUUUCCCUGGGGAAAGGAGCUAAUAGAAACCCUGUGGAACCUAGGAGAUCACGAACUUUUACACAUGUAUCCUGGCAAUGUGUCUAAAUUACAUGGCCGAGAUGGACGAAAAAAUGUGGUUCCUUGUGUUCUGUCUGUAAAUGGGGACCUAGACCGAGGCAUGCUGGCCUACCUCUAUGAUUCUUUCCAGCUGACAGAGAACUCCUUUACAAGAAAGAAAAAUCUUCAUAGAAAGGUACUUAAACUUCACCCUUGUUUAGCCCCUAUUAAGGUUGCUUUGGAUGUAGGAAGAGGCCCCACAUUGGAACUAAGACAGCUAUUCAGGAGGCUAAGGCACAAGAAUCACUUGAACCUGGGAGGUGGAGGUUGCAGUGAGCCGAGAUCGCACCACUGCACUCCAGCCUGGGUGACAGAGCAAGACCCUGCUUCAGAAAAAAAAAAAAAAAAAAGCUUUAAUUAAAUAAUGAACUGUGGGUUUGUCAAGGGCUAUUUAAUGAGUUACUAGAAAAUGGGAUUUCUGUGUGGCCUGGUUAUUUGGAAACUAUGCAGUCCUCAUUGGAACAACUUUAUUCAAAGUAUGAUGAAAUGAGUAUUCUCUUCACAGUUUUGGUUACUGAAACUACUUUGGAGAAUGGAUUAAUACAUCUGAGAAGCAGAGACACCACAAUGAAGGAAAUGAUGCAUAUAUCCAAAUUAAAAGACUUUUUGAUUAAGUAUAUAUCAUCAGCUAAGAAUGUAUAGAUUUUUAUAUUUGUAUAAUAAAUAUUAUUCUCUCCUAA